ACAUAAUGUGCUCAUCUAUAGGGUUCAGUAUUAUCCAUGGUUUCAGGCUUUCAUUGGGGAUCAUGAAACAUAUGAGGGAACAUUGUACCCUUAAUUAUAAAGUGCUCAAGGAGAGUACAAGAAAAUAAAAUAAUACAUUCUCACUAAUGAACAAAUAGAAAAAAAUUCCAAACUAAUCACCAAUAGCACUGUACUAAAAUACUGAAUUACCAACAAAGAGUGUUUGUCCCUAGAGUCCUUAGCUGGAUUACAUUAGUAAACGUAUGCAUAUAUGCAACACAUUAUCAUAAUUCAGAGAAAAGUGUUAUUAACUCAAUAUAGCCAGAAAACCAUAUAAUACAAUUUUGAAAAUGAUAUUAUUGCAAUCUUUCACUCUUUAAAAGCUCACCUCAAUCCCCAAACAUGAUGACAAUAUUUUCUUAGGACUCUUACAACAUGAAACAUUAUACAAUUUAUGCAUAUCAUACAAAUGGAGUUUGCAUUCUGUACCUCUCCCUCACAAUAAUUCUAGGGUUUCACUUCUAUUAGAGUAGACACCACAAACAUAUGACAACUUUAACUUCUAUUUAAAUUUAACAGAAAAUAACCCUUACAUAUCAGUUCUUCCAUGACAUUUGCAUUACAAGUAUUCAAUAGCUAUAUGUGGCUGGUGAAAAACACACUGGAAAGCACAAAGAACAAAGACUUCCAAGACAGAAUAAAUUUUUGGUCUAUUGGAUGGCAGUGGUCUGGGGAAUGAUUCAGACAGACAUGAUUAAGGGAAGUUUUUAAAGACAGAGAAUUUGAAGGGAGUAACUGAAAGGCUGUGCAGUCUCUAUUUUCUAAUAUCCAUUCACCAUGGAAUACUGGUGCUCCUUAUCAACACCACAAUCCCAAUGGGAGCACCUUAAAAUAAACACUGACAGUCAGUAGGGUAUUUUCAAGCAAAGAAGACUGCCUUGAUGCUCCUGACUUCAGCCAGCAAGCAGCUAUUUCAGACUACUUUAGUGGGAGUACAUUGUGCUUUUAAACAGUACUUUUUUUCUAAGUGUAUUUAAUCGCAUUAACAUGGGCUUAUCUUAAUAGUUGUCAAAUCGGGUCUGUAUAUCUAACAUGUUCAAAGAUAUUUUUUAAUAAAUUAAUUCAUCAUUUCUCUGUGUCUUGUAUUACCUAAAUUGUAAGUCUCUAGGAGAGAUAUAAUGUUAUAUUACUAUGAAAUAAUUCCAAAUCCUUACAUAGUUGGUUACCAAGGUAACACAUUUUCUAUGACAACAAUUUCAGUGUACUCCCCUCUCUCAACAAUGUUACAUCACCCUUUCUCAGACCACACAUAUGAGUUACUGACAUCAUGUACUCGACUUCAACAUUAUAAGCCAACUUAAGAGUAUGACAGUCCCUUUAAGGCCAAGCCUAAGGAAAAAAGCCAGAGAAGAUAAAUGGGCAGAUAAUGGUUAGAGGACCAGAGAUCACAGAAUGCUGUGGAAGGAGGUAUGUUUCCAAUGUUAGCACUGAACCCUACACACAAGGAGACGGAACACAGGCAAACAGAAAUGAUUAGUCUCCCCACUAGAAAUAGUUGACAAAGGAUCUCUUGGUAUUCCUUACAUAUGCAUGGGGAGGGAGGAUAGACAUGUUUUUGUCAAGCAAAGCAAAUAUGAGAUUCAAUUAAAUAAACAAAUGAAGGAACUAAUAUCUGAUAAAAAUUUUAAAAGUGUGCACGUGGGACCAGUAUCGUGGCUUAUCAGGUAAAGCUGCUGCCUGCAACACUGGCAUCCAUGGGGGUAUUGGUUUGGGAUCUACCUCCCUCUCUUCUGAUCUAUCUCCCUGCUAAUGGGUUGGAAAAGUAACAGAAGAUGACCAAAAUUCUUGGGCCCCCACCACCCAAAUGGGAGACCUAGAUGAAGCUCCUAGAUCCUGGCUUUAACCUGAUUCAGCCCUGGUCAUUGUGGCCACUUGGGAAGUGAACCAGAGGUUAGAAAAGCAAUCUCUCUCUCUCUCUCGCUCUCUCUCUCUCUCAAAUCAAUCAAUCAUUUGAAAAGUGCAUGUGUGAAUCAUGACGUUUGUGAUAGAACUGAUGCUGAUAAUCAUCAUGCAUGUAUUCAUUCAUUCAGGUACAAUUACUGGGUAAAGAAGAGGACAGAAAAUUCAUUGGCUUAGUACGUGUUCAAUUAAUUGCUAAAGCAAAUGCAUGUAUAGAAAAGAUCUAUGUAUUUUAUAUUUAAUAUCCCACAUAUAUGUGUAUAUAUGUGUUUAUU